rnacentral:rRNA from 1 species
AUGGCCUGCCAUGUCGCCGCCGACGAGCCACCCGCCAUCCCCACCAUACAGGAGCUUCGCGCGCACGACAAGCCACCCACCAUCCCCACCGUACAGGAGCUUUCGCGCGCCCGACAAACCCCCCGCCAUCUGUACCGUCGACGAGCUCCGUGCGGGCGACGCGCCCUCCGCCAUCAGCAGGCCCCCGAUCUCUGCGCCGCCGAGCGAACCAACCACCAAUUUUUUUUGUUCCAUCAAGAAAGAAACAAGCAAAAUUAUGCUGAUAUUCGGAUGGGGUUCAGAAGAAGCAUAUCACACAGAAGGAUCUUGAAAGGAAGAUUCAGAAAACCCACCCUGGCAUAUCUCAACCGCGAGAUCAAAAUACAAAUCAACGGCGUCCGCGACGGGUCUGAAGAAUGCUUCUCAACAGAUGUCUGUAGGAAAGUGUUUCCCAAUUAUGAUUCAGCUUCCCAGUCUAGUUUCUCACUCUAUGCAGCCUUUUUUUAUAUUUUUUGA